AUUGAACGCUGGCGGCAGGCCUAACACAUGCAAGUCGAACGAGUGGCGGACGGGUGAGAAAUGUCUGGGAAACUGCCCGAUGGAGGGGGAUAACUACUGGAAACGGUAGCUAAUACCGCAUACCAUCGGAUGUGCCCCGAUGGGAUUAGCUUGUAGGUGAGGUAACGGCUCACCUAGGCGACGAUCCCUAGCUGGUAUGAGAGGAUGACCAGCCACACUGUAAAUGAGACACGGUCCAGACUCCUACGGGAGGCAGCAGUGGUGAAGAUUGCACAAUGGGCGCAAGCGUGAUGCAGCCAUGCCGCGUGUAGGAAGAAGGCAUUCGGUUUGUAAAGUACUUUCAGCGGGGAGGCGUUACCCGCAGAAGAAGCACCGGCUAAGUCCGUGACAGCAGCCGCGGUAAUAG
rnacentral:rRNA from 1 species